GAGAUAUACAUUACCUAUAUAGGAGCGAACGAGGGGAAUUGAAACAUCUUAGUACCCUCAGGAAAAUAAAUCAAAAGACAUUGCGUCAGUAGCGGCGAGCGAAAGCGCAAGAGGGCAAACCCAGUGCUUGCACUGGGGGUUGUAGGACUGCAAUGUGCAAGAGGUAAGUUUAGCAGAACAUUCUGGGAAGUAUAGCCAUAGAGGGUGAUAGUCCCGUAUGCGAAAAUCAUACCUUAGCUAGCAGUA
rnacentral:rRNA from 1 species